GCCAAAGUGGCAUAGUGGUUUGAAUGUUGGACUAGGACUCUGGAGAUCAGGGUUUGAAUCCCUGCUCAGCCA